UACGAAGGGGGCGAGCGUUGUUCGGAUUUACUGGGCGUAAAGGGCGCGCAGGCGGCGCAUUUUGUCAGGCGUGAAAGCCCCGGGCUUAACCUGGGAACUGCGUUUGAUACGGAUGGGCUAGAGUUCGGGAGAGGAGAGUGGAAUUCCCAGUGUAGAGGUGAAAUUCGUAGAUAUUGGGAAGAACACCGGUGGCGAAGGCGGCUCUCGUGGACCGAGACUGACGCUGAGGCGCGAAAGCGUGGGAAGCAAACAGGG
rnacentral:rRNA from 1 species